rnacentral:rRNA from 1 species
UACGUAGGGUGCAAGCGUUGUCCGGAAUUAUUGGGCGUAAAGAGCUCGUAGGCGGUCUGUCGCGUCGGCUGUGAAAUCCCGGAGCUCAACUCCGGGUCUGCAGUCGAUACGGGCAGACUGGAGUUCGGCAGGGGAGACUGGAAUUCCUGGUGUAGCGGUGAAAUGCGCAGAUAUCAGGAGGAACACCGGUGGCGAAGGCGGGUCUCUGGGCCGAUACUGGCGCUGAGGAGCGAAAGCGUGGGGAGCGAACAGG